rnacentral:rRNA from 1 species
GUAGGUGGCAAGCGUUGUCCGGAAUUAUUGGGCGUAAAGCGCGCGCAGGCGGUUCUUUAAGUCUGAUGUGAAAGCCCACGGGCUCAACCGUGGAGGGUCAUUGGAAACUGGAGAACUUGAGUACAGAAGAGGAAGGCGGAAUUCCACGUGUAGCGGUGAAAUGCGUAGAGAUGAGGAGGAACACCAGUGGCGAAGGCGGCUUUCUGGUCUGUAACUGACGCUGAGGCGCGAAAGCGUGGGGAGCAAACAGGAUUAGAUACCCUGGUAGUCCACGCCGUAAACGAUGAGUGCUAAGUGUUAGGGGGUUCCGCCCCUUAGUGCUGCAGCUAACGCAUUAAGCACUCCGCCUGGGGAGUACGGCCGCAAGGCUG